CCUGAGCUGAAGGCAGACGCUUAACCGACUGAGCCACCCAGGAACCCUUGGACAGACAUUAUGCAUAUGGUGGAUGGUUACAAGGGCAGGAGCCCUUUUCUGAGGAAACCCCCGAAUGUUCAACCUAAGCAAAGAGCACCAGUAGAAGACGGCCAAAGAAUGGAAAAGGAAAGUACUCGCCAUUGGUGUGUUAAAGAGAAAUUUUCCGAAAAGGUUAUCAUUGAGGCUAUGUGGUGAAAAUGUCAGAACCACAAGAUGGAAAGAGUCUGGAUCCCUGAAUCACUGCUGGAAAAAAGCUUCCUAUGAGAAAUCCCAACCAUGAAUGCCUGCUUUAAACUUUACGUGCUUGAUAAAUAAACAUUA